rnacentral:rRNA from 1 species
GACGAACGCUGGCGGCGUGCUUAACACAUGCAAGUCGAACGGAAAGGCCCUUCGGGGUACUCGAGUGGCGAACGGGUGAGUAACACGUGGGUGAUCUGCCCUGCACUUUGGGAUAAGCCUGGGAAACUGGGUCUAAUACCGAAUAGGACCACGCGCUUCAUGGUGUGUGGUGGAAAGCUUUUGCGGUGUGGGAUGGACCCGCGGCCUAUCAGCUUGUUGGUGGGGUAAUGGCCUACCAAGGCGACGACGGGUAGCCGGCCUGAGAGGGUGACCGGCCACACUGGGACUGAGAUACGGCCCAGACUCCUACGGGAGGCAGCAGUGGGGAAUAUUGCACAAUGGGCGCAAGCCUGAUGCAGCGACGCCGCGUGAGGGAUGACGGCCUUCGGGUUGUAAACCUCUUUCACCAGGGACGAAGCGUAAGUGACGGUACCUGGAGAAGAAGCACCGGCCAACUACGUG